AUACGGAGGGUGCAAGCGUUACUCGGAAUUACUGGGCGUAAAGGACGCGUAGGCGGUUUAGAAAGUCAGAUGUGAAAGCCUAUGGCUUAACCAUAGAACUGCAUCUGAAACUCCUAGACUAGAGUGAGGGAGAGGUCAGUGGAAUUAGUGGUGUAGGGGUAAAAUCCGUAGAGAUCACUAGGAAUACUCAUAGCGAAGGCGACUGACUGGAACUUUACUGACGCUGAGGCGUGAAAGCGUGGGGAGCAAACAGGAUUAGAAACCCCGGUAGUCC
rnacentral:rRNA from 1 species